rnacentral:ncRNA from 1 species
CGUUCUCAGGGCGGGGUGAAACUCCCCACCGGCGGUAUCGGGCGUAAGCCCGGAGCCCGCGAGCGCUUUUGUCCGGCAAUUCGGGCGAGAGGUCAGCAGAUCCGGUGCGAUGCCGGAGCCGACGGUUAGAGUCCGGAUGAAAGAGAGC